UUCAGUUCAAAAGGAGGGAGAUGCAACCCAGCAUGUAGGGGCCUGCGGAGGCAGGGGCCCUGCCUACCUGAACACAGGCGGUCACCCAGGCUUCCCAAGGUGCGUUUAGCUCUCCUGCCUUCUGAGGGACCAACAUCUACAGCGCCUCAAGGGCCCCUGGGAGCAGGAGCCUCCGAAGUGCGUUGCUGUCGCACCUGGAAAAGAAUUGUCCUUCCAACAGCCUCUCUGCAUUCACACGUCCUGCGUGAGCUCCCCAAAGGGCAGCUGCAGCUCUUGAGGCGGCGCUGCUCUGAGAGCAGGCGUGUGAGCAGUGCUGUCACAGUGGCAGUCCAGGCCUGACUGAGAGCAUCCCUGGAUGAUGGCUUCUCUCCCUUCCCCUGUUGGUCUCUGGUUGCAGUCACUAAGCCCUCUGAAUUGAACUAGGCGUUAAUAGCUCGGCUGACUGACAGUGGCUGCUAAGCAGCAUUACGUGCUGUGUAGCAGCCGGUGAUUGGAGGAGAACGAGGGCAUGCGGAGCUAGGAUGGAUGUUCCCAAGGUCCAUCAGAACUCUGCACUCGGGUGGUGUCUCCAUGGUUCAUGCUGAUUAGUCAGUCCCAUGAUUCCAUUUACCAACGCUCUGUGUUCCAGAAAGACCCAGGACAUGCCCGCUGGCAUGAGUUCAGGAUGCUGCUGGGCACGAGUGAGGCUGGCAGACGCACGUCCUACUGUGUGACAUUGUCUUGGCUGCCCCAGUGAUGUAUGGGGCAAAGUGCCUCCGCUCAUGAGUACUAACUUUCAAUGAGAUCCAUUUUCACCUCUGCUGGUUCACAGCCUAGGGAUUUUGCACACAUGACUGGGAGUCAACAGCUCCCGGGCUGCAGCCAGAGCUGUGCCAUGGGCCCAUUGUGUGACCUUGGACAAGUCAUUUAGUUGCCCCUGUACCUCAGUUUCCCCAUCUAUACAACGGGGAUAAUAAUGGUGGUCAACCUCAAUGGAGUUGGGUGGUUUGACAAUUAAUUAAUGUUUGUAAAGUAUUUUGAAGCUGGAAAGUGCUAAAUGCUGCUUUUGUUGUGAUUUCAUUACCAUUUGUAUAGGUUAUAAUAAUUAAUAUAAGUAAUUUCAUCUGGUAGAA